CCUACGGGGGGCUGCAGUGGGGAAUAUUGGACAAUGGGGGCAACCCUGAUCCAGCCAUGCCGCGUGUGUGAAGAAGGCCCUCGGGUUGUAAAGCACUUUCAGUGAGGAAGAACGCCUGGUGGUUAAUACCCAUCAGGAAAGACAUCACUCACAGAAGAAGCACCGGCUAACUCCGUGCCAGCAGCCGCGGUAAUACGGAGGGUGCGAGCGUUAAUCGGAAUUACUGGGCGUAAAGCGCGCGUAGGUGGCUUGAUAAGCCGGUUGUGAAAGCCCCGGGCUCAACCUGGGAACGGCAUCCGGAACUGUCAAGCUAGAGUGCAGGAGAGGAAGGUAGAAUUCCCGGUGUAGCGGUGAAAUGCGUAGAGAUCGGGAGGAAUACCAGUGGCGAAGGCGGCCUUCUGGACUGACACUGACGCUGAGGUGCGAAAGCGUGGGUAGCAAACAGGAUUAGAUACCCCUGUAGUC
rnacentral:rRNA from 1 species